rnacentral:lncRNA from 1 species
CCGGCUGACGUGGGCCUCGCCUCGGGCGACUCCCGCCGGGCUAGCGGCUGGCCGUGUGGUGACCUUGGGCGAGUUACUUCGCACAGCCAUCCAGGGGCCUCUUCUCCAACACGAUAGCACUGCACCCGGAGGAUAAAGAACCACUGAAGUUAUGAGUUAUUCUUCCUACAGUUGUACAGCUUGUGAACAGUAGAGCUGGGGUCCGAGCCAGGUCUCUGACUCUGCAGCCUACCCUCGUCCUGCUUGAACACACUGAGGAAGACAGGAAUAACAGGACAUGGGUCAGGAGGCUUGGCUUCUGCUCCAGCUUUGAAGUUGAAGGAUUAGGUGACAGCUAACACUUGAUAGUAUUUUAUGGUUUCAAAGUGAUAACCAUGUAAUAUUUUAAUUGAUUCUCAGCCCAUUUUAUAGAUGAGGAAACUGAGGCUCACAGAUCUGAUGACUUCCUAAUUGUGGCAAACUACCAGCUACACAGUAGCUGGGCUGGCUUCGAACCAGGUCUUUUGACCCCAGAGUCUGUGCAGCUCACAAAUAAAGCUGAUUCUUUGACAAGUUAAGCCUCUUCUCUUGGAUUCAUUUUUCCAGUCUGUGAAAAUGAGGGAUUGGAUUAGAUUAGUAGGCAAUCACUAGUUCCCAGGCCCUUUUAUUUAAAGAAAAAAAGGAGAACCCAUAGAGUCUGGCAACUUAAACUUUUGCUAAGUAUGAACAC